rnacentral:rRNA from 1 species
CCUACGGGUGGCAGCAGUAGGGAAUAUUGCGCAAUGGGCGAAAGCCUGACGCAGCAACGCCGCGUGAACGAGACGGCCUUUGUGGUUUAAAGUUCUCUUUGUUGGGACGAAAGAUGACGGUACCUACCGAGGAAGCACCGGCUAACUCCGUGCCAGCAGCCGCGGUAAUACGGAGGGUGCAAGCGUUGUCCGGAAUCAAUGGGCGUAAAGAGUUCGUAGGCGGUAUGUUAAGUCUGGUGUUAAAUGCUGAAGCUUAACUUCUGUUCGGCAUUGGAUACUGGCAAACUGGAGUGGGGUAGAGGUAGGGGGAAUGCGUGGUGUAGCGGUGAAAUGCUUAGAUAUCAGGAGGAACAUCGAUGGCGAAGGCGCUUUACUGGGCCGUAAUUGACGCUGAGGAACGAAAGCGUGGGUAGCAAAUAGGAUUAGAUACCCUAGUAGUC